CCCUUAGAUGUUCUGGGCCGCACGCGCGAUACACUGAUGAAUGCAACGAGCUCUACCCUUGACCGAAAGGCCCGGGUAAACUUGUGAAACUUCAUCGUGAUGGGGAUAGAUUAUUGCAAUUAUUAAUCUUCAACGAGGAAUUCCUAGUAAGCGCGAGUCAUCAGCUCGCGUUGACUACGUCCCUGCCCUUUGUACACACCGCCCGUCGCUCCUACCGAUUGAAUGGUCCGGUGAAAUCUUCGGAUUGCUGACCAAGAUCCAGCAAUGGAGCUUGGUUGCGAGAAGUUGAUUAAACCUUAUUAUUUAGAGGAAGGAGAAGUCGUAACA
rnacentral:rRNA from 1 species